rnacentral:rRNA from 1 species
UACGGGGGGGGUAAGCGUUGUUCGGAAUUACUGGGCGUAAAGGGCGCGUAGGCGGCCUUCUAAGUCAGACGUGAAAUCCCCAGGCUUAACUUGGGAACUGCGUCUGAUACUGGGAGGCUUGAGUGCGGGAGAGGGAUGUGGAAUUCCAGGUGUAGCGGUGAAAUGCGUAGAUAUCUGGAGGAACACCGGUGGCGAAGGCGGCAUCCUGGACCGACACUGACGCUGAGGCGCGAAAGCUAGGGGAGCAAACGGG